GCUAAAUAAAAAUCCCACUGGUCAGUUUCCCUAACAAAGAAAAAGGUACAAGUAAAUUCAAAAGCCUUGAAGGAAAGAAGUACCAAUCUACAAUGUCCAUACAAACUUAGGAGCAUCUUUCCUUGGUCCUACUAAUGUACGGUACAGAUACAUUUUCCCUACUUUCUGUCCAUCAUCGUCGCAGCAGAAUUCCAACUGAUCAUUCUCGUUGAUGAUCU
rnacentral:misc_RNA from 1 species